rnacentral:rRNA from 1 species
CUGGACCCUUGAGGUCCCUGAAGUGCCCUCGAAGACUACGAGGUUGAUAGGCUGGGUGUGGAAGUUCAGUAAUGGAUGAAGCUAACCAGUACUAAUUGCACGUGAGGCUUGAUCAU